ACUGCAUCUGGUCAUCACAUCUGCACGGGCCGGAACUCUUGACGAGCGUCGUGAGUGUUGCGAAACGCCAUGGUGGCCGCUCGCCCUGACGCUCCGUUGUCGACUGCCCGCGCUGCUCCAUACCGCUGUCGCCGAAUCCUCCUCUGCCGUGCUGCUCCAUGCCGUGAUGCUCCGCCAUCGAAGCCCGCUCCACGCCACCUACCCGUGCUGCUCUGUGGCCUGUGUCGCCAUGGUCGAGUCUUCCUCUACCGUGCUGCUCCAUGCCGCCUGCACACUGCCGGUGUCACUCAAUCCGAUCCCUCGGUGAAGAAGGUAUGCAUCUUGGAUAGAAGGCAGCAAAACGUCUCCCAUCAGCUGGAGCAAUCAUCGAUGGCCAAGACAGCAGGCUGAUAAUCUGCUACACCUACGUGAAGUGUUGUGCUUAUGGAGGAGGCGUCAAAGAUCACUUCUACUGCCACAAUACUAGAUGUAGAGAAAUGCAAAGGGUUAAAGUUACAAACCCACUAAUGGGAACAUCAAGAGAAAGCUAGCUAUUGUUGGGAAGGAUUUAACUUUUGGAAGUGGUGUCUACAACUGAGCAGGCCAGGCUACAACAUCGAGCUGAUGAAAUUUGACAUGGGAGGCUCUGCAGUUGUAUUCGGUGCAGCUGAAGCUUUUGGACAAAUCAAGCCUCUUGGAGUCGAGGUUGAACGCAGCCUGAACCUGCUGGCGUCUAACCCCUCCAAUACAGGAUGCAAGAUCUGUGAUAGAUUGAGAUGAGGAAGAUGGUGAAUGGACAGCCCCAUUCAUUCUUAACACCAGAGUACAAAGGAACAUGGAAGCAAAAGAAAAUCAAGAACCCCGAUUAUAAGGCAAGUGAAGGCCCCUUUGAUUGACAACCCAGGUAAUACAUUUCCGAAAAGGCAAAUUCACCUGAGGCUAAUUAACCCUGCUGUAUUUUCGGUUCAUACACCAGGGUCCACUUGAGUGUUCAGACUCAGAUUAGCAAAUGCCAAGUUGGGUAUGUGAUGUCAAUUUUUAAUUCUGCCAGGAUAUGGCAUUGCGUACUUCAGUUGUCAUUUAAUCUCUAGAACCAAAAAGCAGUUGAUAUUGUAUUCUCUCAAGUCCUCCUAUACUUUGUUAGAUAGAUCGUAGGUAAAUUCUUAGGUUAUUAUAUUUCUUUAAGCCAAUGUUGAUCUUCACAAAUAUGUUACUCGACUUCUCAAAUGCUGCAGUGAAGAUGAAACUAUUUACCACUUCUUAAAUUGUGUUGUGGCUAAAUAGAUGAGUACACUGGACAUACAAAAGAUCAUGCACCAGUUAAUUGGGAGCUUUGAGGGUAGCUUCUGAAUUUAGGGGAGGUUGAAUACCUCUGAAGACAUUUUGCUGCCAAGACGUGUGAUUUUGCAGAUGUAUAUGUCUUUGAAAUUGUUCUUUUGGCUGCCGAUUUGGUGUUGCUGGGUGCAAUGUAAGUGUUGACUGCCUUUGGUGGGAAUAUGUAGCCAUUGGAUUGGGUUUAUUCUUGCUUGGAUCAUAAAUACUUUUCAAAGAUGCUUAAUUAGUUGACAUGAAUACCUUUUAGUUAUUUAAUUUAUCUGGUUUUAUACUCCCGUAGCAUUAGCACGGGCAUUAUACUAGUAACAGAUUAAGAGAUCAAUCUGUCCAAUCAUCAAAAAUCCAAUCUAAUGCACUUUUUACCCUACUUUCCCAUCUAUUACUGUUCCUCCGUCUUCGUUGCGGUCUUCGUUGCUGUUGAUGGCCGGUGGUUCAAUGACGACAAAGCUAUAGAAAAGCUAUAGAACGACAAGCCUGGCCAGGGCAGAUUGUAGCUGCCGCAAGCCUUGAUGGGGUGCCUCCGAAACUUGUGGGGUUUUGAGUUUCGAGAGACCUUUCACUUCUUCGGGUACGUAUUGUAUGUAUCACACUCAUUACUAGAGGCACCAAGUGAAGUGUUUGUGUGCGAACAUGUUGUUAGAUGAUGACUGACCUCAAAAGUGGGCCAAGCUGAUUUUG